GAUGAUGAUCAUGGGGUCUCGGGGGCGUCCUUGAGGUCGUACUUCUGGAGGAUGGAGCCGCAGUCGGCGAGGGGCUCCUUGCGGAAGAAGGCGAUGGGGUUGGCGUAGCGGAUGCCGUUCUGCUUGAGGCCGUUGUUGCUGGUGAGCGGGACGCGGGACCGGUCGCGGGUCUUCUCCGUCUCGGAGCACGCCGGGUCGCUGCUCUUGUCCAGCACCACCUCGCAGAUCUCCUCCUGGUGGUCCUGGUCGAUCUCCACCUUGUACCACCCCUUCUCGUCCGUCGUCGCCUCCGCCUUCAGGCUCUCCCUCCCCGCCCCGUAGUGCCUGCACUCCACCGACACCGUCGCCCCUACGCACGCACGCACGCAUUUCCUCAACGUUGGUCUCGAAGCCGGCGCGGCAGGGGUCGCAGUAGACGCGCCCGGUGACGACGAAGCCGCCGGGGUCCUUGCCGGCGGGAGCGGUGGCGACGGCGACGGACACCACGGCGGCGAGGACGGCGAGCGCCAACAAUGGCGCCGUGGUGGCGAAGCGAGGACGCGCCAUGGUCGUCUCGUACCGUACGUCGAUCGGUGCGAUCUCUCUCUCUCGAUCGGUGUCGGGGAUGGCGUGGAGGGGGAGGAGG
rnacentral:sRNA from 1 species